rfam:Lingula anatina scaffold342, whole genome shotgun sequence.
CAGUGGUCUGUGCUCUUUGAGUGUUUUUCUAGUGGGGGAUUAUUUCAUUUCAAAUCUUAUAAUUCCCAG